AACGUAGGAGGCGAGCGUUAUCCGGAGUUACUGGGCGUAAAGCGCGUGUAGGUGGUUGGAUACGUCUGCUGUGAAAUGUCCCGGCUUAACCGGGAGGGUGCGCCGAAAACUGGAGUGCUUGAGUAUGGGAGAGGCAAGCGGAAUUCCUGGUGUAGCGGUGAAAUGCGUAGAUAUCAGGAGGAACACCUGUGGUGUAGACAGCUUGCUGGACCAUCACUGACGCUGAGGCACGAAAGCGUGGGUAGCAAACAGG
rnacentral:rRNA from 1 species